rnacentral:tRNA from 1 species
GGGUGCUUAGCUCAGUUGGUAGAGCACUAGCCUUACAAGCUGGCUGUCGGGGGUUCGAACCCCUCAGCACCCACCA